GUUUGAGUGCAGAGGAGAAGAGUGAGAGAGAGUUUGAUUGGAGUGAAUCCAGAGCGUUGUCUCACCGACUGCACCGGAGAACCUACAGUGCUGCAGGACCCAACUCGCUGUGGCACAUAGAUGGGAACCACAAACUCAUCAGAUGGAGAAUAGUGAUCCAUGGCGGAAUCUGUGGCUUCAGCAGGCCGGUUGUGUUUUUGCAGGCUUCAGAUAAUAACAGAAGUUGCACAGUGUUUGACCAGUUUGUUCAAGCCACUGCUAGGUAUGGAGUCUCGAAUAAGGUGUGACCAUGGGGGAGAAAACAAUGCUGUCUGCUUGUUCAUGAACAUUUACCGUGGAUUAGAAAGAGGAAGUGCCAUCCGGGGCAGAAGUGUCCAUAACCAGCGGAUGGAGAGGCUUUGGGGAGAUCUCUGGAGAGGAUUAUACAACAGUUUCUUGCCAGUCUCUUUGCCAACUCUGGAUUCCCUAGCUUACCUCCCCUCUCAAGGACGGUAUCCUGCACUCUAAUCCAGGGGAUAAUGAAUCCCUGAGGAAUGAGAGGGUUAGAUGCCGUGAUAACGCAGUUACUGGGUCAGUUGCAGAACACAGGCCCUCCUCCAGCUGAUAGAGAAGAUCUCUCCUCUCCCAUCUGUCAGUAUGAAAUGUGAAUGGCUGCAAGACAAAAUGGAUAAACUGACAGCACGUGUGUCUGAUUGCAGGUUUAGA